UUGCUGGGUUGUACAGAUCAGGGUGAAGGGUAAAAGAGAUCUGAAAAUUCCCUGGCUAGCUGAACUGAUUCACAUUGGCUAAGACAAACUGUUAACUGUUACCUAAAGAAGAGAACAAACGAGAGAAGAGAAAACGCAAAGAGCCUGCAUGGCUUGGGUUUGAGGAAAAGUUUGGACAACUUUUGAGAGAGAGGAAGAGUGAUUUUGAACCACACAGCUGGACUGGGGAUGUGGAUGCAAUGUGAACAUAAAAGAUUGCCUUCUUAUGGAAACUGCAGCUAAGUACAGGCCAGGUGUGGUGGCUCACGCCUGUAAUUCAAGCCUUUGGG
rnacentral:lncRNA from 1 species